CGCGAAGAACCUUACCUGGUCUUGACAUCCACGGAAGUUUUCAGAGAUGAGAAUGUGCCUUCGGGAACCGUGAGACAGGUGCUGCAUGGCUGUCGUCAGCUCGUGUUGUGAAAUGUUGGGUUAAGUCCCGCAACGAGCGCAACCCUUAUCCUUUGUUGCCAGCGGUCCGGCCGGGAACUCAAAGGAGACUGCCAGUGAUAAACUGGAGGAAGGUGGGGAUGACGUCAAGUCAUCAUGGCCCUUAUGACCAGGGCUACACACGUGCUACAAUGGCGCAUACAAAGAGAAGCGACCUCGCGAGAGCAAGCGGACCUCAUAAAGUGCGUCGUAGUCCGGAUUGGAGUCUGCAACUCGACUCCAUGAAGUCGGAAUCGCUAGUAAUCGUGGAUCAGAAUGCCACGGUGAAUACGUUCCCGGGUCUUGUACACACC
rnacentral:rRNA from 1 species